ACGCACACGUCGCCGGACGCGCUCGUCCGUCCCCGGGCGGCGGCUAUAGCCUAUAAUAUGUACAUUGGUAUCACAGGCGCUCGCAUUUCGCCUCCACCUACACCUCCACGUCAUCGCCCGGGCGCACGCGCGAUAUAGUAUUAUGUUAUUACUAUUAUUGUCGUACUAUACCUAUAUACACCACACCGCAGCUGUUGUCGACGCACAACUCGCGACGCGGACCGUCUGUCACAUACCUAAACAUGAUACCUAAUAAUAAUAAUAAUAAUAAUAUUAAUAAUAUCACAAUUCACAAGUAAUGCCAUCGUUUUCCCCGUCCGAAGCGUUUAAAUCGAACGGGUUUUUUUCUUUUUAAUUCGCGUCCAAGUAAUAUUAUUAAUCAUUUACUAUCGUCAUUAUGACCACAACCACACACACGGACGUCCGUAACGGUUUUAGGCCGCGUUCACGUGCAUGUAAGAAAAUGCAUCGUCUUACUGUGAUUCAAAUUCAACUUGCAGAAUACCAACUACCAACAACUACGCUCAUGAUGUAUAAGCCAUCAUCCAUCAACAUAAGAUCGAAAAGAUACCUAUGCGAACGUAUCGUUGUACAGACGAUACAUGAUUAUCUACUUUGCUGCUUUUCAAAAUAAGUCGUUCAACAUGGUGCCCAUCUGUCCGUCCGAUUCUACAGGCCUCAAAAACGGUUCUACAUAAAAUCGUGACAACGGAACCGUAGGAACAUAAUAUAAUGUGUAAGCAACUGCACGAACAACAGAUAUCGAUAUGAAUAAAUUAAUAAUAAUAUAAUAAUA